UUUGUACUCCCUCCGUUCAGAAUUACUUGUCCUGAAAAUGGAUGUAUCUAGAUGUAUUUUAGUUCUAAAUACAUCCAUUUUCGAGACAAGUAAUUUCGAACGGAGGGAGUAAUUG
rfam:Triticum aestivum genome assembly, contig: Triticum_aestivum_CS42_TGACv1_scaffold_195534_3AL